UACGUAGGGGGCUAGCGUUGUCCGGAAUCAUUGGGCGUAAAGCGCGUGUAGGCGGCCCGGUAAGUCCGCUGUGAAAGUCGGGGGGCUCAACCCUCGGAUGCCGGUGGAUACUGUCGGGCUCGAGUACGGGAAGAGGCGAGUGGAAAUUCCUGGUGUAGCGGUGAAAUGCGCAGAUAUCAAGGAGGAACACCGGUGGCGAAGGC
rnacentral:rRNA from 1 species